AUUCUUCCCUGAGCAAGGAGAGACACCCAUGAUCACAAAGGUGAGUUUUCCCAGAGCGAGAGCUUAUCCAUUGCACUCCAGAUGUGCUGACCCCUGCGAUUUCCCCAAAGGUGAGGAAACUCAACUGCAUAACUUGUGGUAGAGAGUGACUGCGUUCGCGCUCUCGCCUG
rnacentral:snRNA from 1 species